GUGAGGAAACUGAGGCAGCACAUGUAUUAAAAUUGGAACGACCCAGAGAAGAUUAGCAUGGUCCCUGCACAAGUGUGACACACAAAGUCGUGAAGCUUUUCAUAUUUUU